ACUGAACGCUGGCGGCAGGCUUAACACAUGCAAGUCGAACGAUGAUUAUCUAGCUUGCUAGAUAUGAUUAGUGGCGGACGGGUGAGUAACAUUUAGGAAUCUGCCUAGUAGUGGGGGAUAGCUCGGGGAAACUCGAAUUAAUACCGCAUACGACCUACGGGUGAAAGGGGGCGCAAGCUCUUGCUAUUAGAUGAGCCUAAAUCAGAUUAGCUAGUUGGUGGGGUAAAGGCCCACCAAGGCGACGAUCUGUAACUGGUCUGAGAGGAUGAUCAGUCACACCGGAACUGAGACACGGUCCGGACUCCUACGGGAGGCAGCAGUGGGGAAUAUUGGACAAUGGGGGCAACCCUGAUCCAGCCAUGCCGCGUGUGUGAAGAAGGCCUUUUGGUUGUAAAGCACUUUAAGCAGGGAGGAGAGGCUAAUGGUUAAUACCCAUUAGAUUAGACGUUACCUGCAGAAUAAGCACCGGCUAACUCUGUGCCAGCAGCCGCGGUAAUACAGAGGGUGCGAGCGUUAAUCGGAAUUACUGGGCGUAAAGCGAGUGUAGGUGGCUCAUUAAGUCACAUGUGAAAUCCCCGGGCUUAACCUGGGAACUGCAUGUGAUACUGGUGGUGCUAGAAUAUGUGAGAGGGAAGUAGAAUUCCAGGUGUAGCGGUGAAAUGCGUAGAGAUCUGGAGGAAUACCGAUGGCGAAGGCAGCUUCCUGGCAUAAUAUUGACACUGAGAUUCGAAAGCGUGGGUAGCAAACAGGAUUAGAUACCCUGGUAGUCCACGCCGUAAACGAUGUCUACUAGCCGUUGGGGUCCUUGAGACUUUAGUGGCGCAGUUAACGCGAUAAGUAGACCGCCUGGGGAGUACGGCCGCAAGGUUAAAACUCAAAUGAAUUGACGGGGGCCCGCACAAGCGGUGGAGCAUGUGGUUUAAUUCGAUGCAACGCGAAGAACCUUACCUGGUCUUGACAUAGUGAGAAUCCUGUAGAGAUGCGGGAGUGCCUUCGGGAAUUCACAUACAGGUGCUGCAUGGCUGUCGUCAGCUCGUGUCGUGAGAUGUUGGGUUAAGUCCCGCAACGAGCGCAACCCUUUUCCUUAUUUGCCAGCGGGUUAAGCCGGGAACUUUAAGGAUACUGCCAGUGACAAACUGGAGGAAGGCGGGGACGACGUCAAGUCAUCAUGGCCCUUACGACCAGGGCUACACACGUGCUACAAUGGUAGGUACAGAGGGUUGCUACACAGCGAUGUGAUGCUAAUCUCAAAAAGCCUAUCGUAGUCCGGAUUGGAGUCUGCAACUCGACUCCAUGAAGUCGGAAUCGCUAGUAAUCGCGGAUCAGAAUGCUGCGGUGAAUACGUUCCCGGGCCU
rnacentral:rRNA from 1 species